CACAAAAGAAAACCGCGGAAUCAUGGGCGUCCGCAGGAAUUUUUCCAGGGGGGGCAUAAUUGUAAUGACAUCCAUGCUUGGUCCCUUUUUGACAGUGUCAUGAAGGGGAGGAGCAUAGUCAUUAUCACAUAAUGCCAGGGUGAAUUGCGUUUUAACAACUAUGGUGUCAGGAAUACAUGUUUAUAUUCCUGACACUAUAGUGUUCAUUUAACCCCUUAAGGACACAACUUCUGGAAUAAAAG